AGCCAAAGGUGGGGACGUAAAAGAAAAAACUCAGGCAAAAUUAAUAUAAGUAGAACGUUUAUAUGGGCCAAAUGUGAAGAUCGCAACUUAGUAGCAGAGAUUCAAGCUGCCCUGAAGAUGUGCUCCAAUUAGCAGCGGUUGCAAGCAUUGGAACAGUGGAAAGCAAAUCUCCGACCCAUCUCUGUUUAUCCCAGACAGUUGCAAUUACCCUCCAAUAACGCUGGACACUGGAAGCCCAGAGAAGGAAGUCCUCUGAAGAGAAUAAAACACUGAAAGCAACACCGGAAUUCUCUUGGGAUAUGUGAGGACCACAGCUGCCUGCAUGUGCUGGAGACCUUGGACAAAGUUCCCAAGUCCUAUCCAUAGCUACAGGUGUCAGAAGAAAAUAUUACAACGCAUCCCGUUUAGAGUUAGAGUCUAGAAGCGGGCAAUACGUCAUCCAUAAAACAAAGAGUGUUUCAUGAGUGGAGCAGAGGCAGUGGCGGACUGAGGAAAGCACAGGUGUUCAUUCAUCUGCCUGGAGAGAGUUAAAUGCUGUCCUCUGAAUCUGAGAGAUGCGCAUUUAGGACUUGCCAGAAGGAAACUAUUUAU